AUUGAACGCUGGCGGCAGGCCUAACACAUGCAAGUCGAACGAGUGGCGGACGGGUGAGUAAUGUCUGGGAAACUGCCUGAUGGAGGGGGAUAACUACUGGAAACGGUAGCUAAUACCGCAUACCAUCAGAUGUGCCCAGAUGGGAUUAGCUUGUUGGUGGGUUAACGGCUCACCAAGGCGACGAUCCCUAGCUGGUCUGAGAGGAUGACAAGCCACACUGGAACUGAGACACGGUCCAGACGCCUACGGGAGGCAGCAGUGGGGAAUAUUGCACAAUGGGGGCAAGCCUGAUGCAGCCAUGCCGCGUGUAGGAAGAAGGCCGUCGGGUUGUAAAGUACUUUCAGCGGGGAGGCGGUACCCGAAGAAGAAGCACCGGCUAACGCCGUGCCAGCAGCCGCGGUAAUUC
rnacentral:rRNA from 1 species